UUGUGGUUAAAAAGCUCGUAGUUGGAUCUCGGCGGACUGAGGGCGGUUUGCUUGCUAGUAUUACUGCCCUAUAGUCCGUAGUUUUGCCAGAGGUUUCGGGGUGCUCUUAAUCGAGUGUCCCGGGAUGCUGGCAGGUUUACUUUGAAAAAAUUAGAGUGCUCAAAGCAGGCUAUUACGCCUGAAUAUUCGUGCAUGGAAUAAUAGAAAAGGAAGUCGUUUCUAUUUUGUUGGUUUUCGGAAAUCGACUUAAUGAUUAAUAGGGACAGUCGGGGGCAUUUGUAUUCAAACGACAGAGGUGAAAUUCUUGGACCGUUUGAAGACAAACUACUGCGAAAGCAUUUGCCAAGAAUGUUUUCAUUAAUCAAGAACGAAAGUUAAAGGUUCGAAGGCGAUUAGAUACCGCCCUAGUUUUAACCAUAAACGAUGCCAGCUAGCGAUCUGCGGACGUUUUUUUUGUAGACUCCGCAGGAAGCUUCCGGGAAACCAAAGCAUUUGGGUUCCAGGGGAAGUAUGGUUGCAAAGCUGAAACUUAAAGGAAUUGACGGAAGGGCACCACCAGGAGUGGAGCCUGUGGCUUAAUUUGACUCAACACGGGAAAUCUCACCAGGCCCGGACACUGGAAGGAU
rnacentral:rRNA from 1 species